GAGAAUACACACUUUGCACUUGCUGCCAUUCCUGAAUCUGAAGAGAACUCAUGAAGAAGCAAGCACAAUAAUUGACUGGUUCUAUUAAUAUGUCCAGAACUGAUUUCCUGCACUGACCAUAACUUAAUGAAUAAUGUUCCCAGCAAAGUUUGCAGGUACAGCUCCAAACUGUGAUGGUCCUGUGGAGCACUGGCAGCAGUAAAACAUCCAACUGCUGGAUCCCUGCCUCCCUCUUGGUGUCUCCCCUUCCCUGCAUCCCAGUCUGAAUGGGUCUCUGGGAUGCCGCAGCCGUGAGCAGAGGGUCUGGAAACAGCCCAGCUCUGGAGGCACAGCAUCCACUGACAGUGCAGAGAGCAGCAAAGGUGUCUACAAAUUAAACAGUAAAUAAAAGCACAGCUGGCGGGAGGAAUAAAAAGGGCAUUUCAGAGUGAAUGUGCAUCCCUCACUGAAGUCACCACUGCAGGAGAUCUUAGCACCUGAGCUGAUCAAGGCUCCAGGAACUGCUUCUUGGUCACCCACAGCACCAGGACAGGCCCACAGGAAGAUACCAGCAGGGACAUCGUUGGUGGGAUGGUCUCUCUCCUCUUCCCUACAGUCCCAGGCUGGGAAAACACACAAUUGAAUAUUCAACCCAGAGUUUUCUCCUCUAGCCAAAGAGGGCAACUUCACACGGUGGAAAUCAUUAAAGAAUCAUACCCUUUUGCUGCUCAACACCAUUUUUAUUGGAAAGGAUUUACCAGCUGUGCAAUAGUGAGACUGGAAUGGUGUGUUUGGCCCCCCUCCUAGAGCUGCUUCUUGCCCCACAAAGGACAUGGACUUCACUGUGCCAGAGUGUCCUCCCUGGCAAGGCUUUGCCCUGAAGAGUAACAAGAAAUAAAAUCUUUGAGAAUGAAGCUAUCAAAUUGGUGCCAUUCUCUUCCAGAAGGCGAUGGGACCUCUCUGUUUGCUGUUGGCACAAGCACCCAGUGACUGGUGUUCCUGAGGGUGCCCAGUAUUGAAUCUCAGCUGUGCUGCCCACACUGCCCUGGCACUGCUGUGGAAGGGCCUGCAUCCCCAGGAGGCUGUGGCUGCUGGACUGCUCCUGAAUAUCAGAAACAUUGAUCUCUGCUUGCUCUUCAGUGGCCAGCUGUACAGGUGUCGAAAGGAGAAGAGCACAAAGAGAAGGCACACAGGAAGGACAGGCAAAUGCUUUGAGGACCAAGUGUAGACUGCAUGUGGCACGUUGAUCCCAGCUGGAUGCCAGGCGCCCACCAAAGCUGCUCCAUCACUACCCUCCUCAGCUGGGCAGGAGGGCAAAAAGAAAACAAAAGUCUCAGGAGUCAAUGGCAGGGAGAGAUCACUGGUUAAUGACUGUCAUGGGCAAAAGAGACUCCACUUGGAGAAAUUAAUUUAAUUUACCAUCAAUCAAAUCAGAGUAGAGUAACAAGAAAUGAAAGUAGGUUGUAAAAAACCUUCCCCUCUGCCCCCCCACUUCUUUCUGGGCUCAACUUUACUCCCUCACUCCCUCCCAUCCUCUCCCUAUGCUGCAGGGGGAUGAGGAAUGGGGGCUGCAGUUAGUUCCUCACACCUUGUCUCUGCCACUCCUUGUUCCUCAGGGGGAGGACUCCUCACUCUUCCCCUGCUCCAGCGUGGGGUCCAACCCUCUUUGACAGGCAGAAGUGAAAUUAUUAGUGACAGCUAAAAUUAAGAUUUUAAUAAUUACUUGAGCUCUUCUUUGCUUAGGCCCAGCAGGAGAACAUCCUACGAUGUGCAGUGUGUCAACCACUUACCUUGAAGUAAAUGAAAGCUGAGGCUUUGCAGCAUUGGAAAAAUGUUCCGUAACUUUCAGCAUUAGGCUCAAGAGUACUUUUUUAGUAUGAAGAGUUCAGCAGGAAUUGCACCUUGUAAGAGAUGAGGACAGACAAAUAGUAUUCAGAGUGUAAAUGAUGUUAAAGACUGCCAAAAUGGUAGAGGGGGCGAAGACAGGAAGGGAACAAAACAUUAUAGAAGAUUAAGAGGUGAAUUAAGAUGAUAGCUUCUCUCUUCCCACACAUAGGUACUGAUUUCACACCCUUUCAGAGUUUGUAUUUGACUGCUCACAGAGCCUUUCAGCAUCACUUUGAUUGGUCUGUUCAGUAGAGAAAUGGUCCAACCUUUGCACAUGGACGAGCCCUGAGUAUGGCUCUUGUGUUCUGUAAGGGCUCUCCAGGUACAGUUUUGAUUGUCUGAUCCUCCAUGUAAAGAAAUCAGUCCUGUUCCAAGGGAAAUGCCAUCUGCUUUGAAACUUACAAACCAAUUCUUUUGUUAGGAAAUUCUGAUGCUGCAGGGGUGACCAAAGUUUGAGUGAGCAUGUGGAGCCAAGGGAUGCUGCAAAGAUGGUCUCCCAUGCUGACCCCCAUUUCUUCUUGCCUGAGAAAGGGCUGUGAGGUGUCUCUAGACCAAGACCCAUCUGCCACUGCAUGGCACCUGCUUGUCUUGUCAGAUAUGCUGGCUGAACAGCCAUCUAAGGUUGUCUGCUUCUGUGAGCUGACCUGGUGAUUUGGGGUUAUGAGCCUCAAACUUUAGUUUGUUUCUGCAGUUGCUUCAAGAAAACCUUACUUGGACUGAAGUGGGAUUUCCUAAAGACAUUUCCUAAACCCUGUGAUUUUGCAGAAUUAGUGUCUUGUGGAAA